rnacentral:rRNA from 1 species
UACGUAGGGGGCAAGCGUUGUCCGGAAUUAUUGGGCGUAAAGAGCGCGCAGGCGGUCGUUCAAGUCGAGUGUGAAAGCCCCCGGCUCAACUGGGGAGGGUCACUCGAUACUGAUCGACUCGAAGGCGGGAGAGGGAAGCGGAAUUCCCGGUGUAGUGGUGAAAUGCGUAGAUAUCGGGAGGAACACCAGUGGCGAAGGCGGCUUCCUGGCCCGUUCUUGACGCUGAGGCGCGAAAGCUAGGGGAGCAAACGGG